CUUCUGCGGGAGGUUUUAUUUACGCAGCCAAACAAAGUUCGCCGCCGCCUUCCCGCGCGCAGCGCCUCCAAGGGUUAAGCGCUCGGACUGGCGGCCGGCAGGAGCCCAGCCUGUUGGCCAAGAGCCGAGGGGCGAGCGCCAGUCACGUGACCCGGGGCGGGGAGGGGGGCGCCAAAUCCUACUCUCUUGGGGCACCUCUCCAGCUGCUCCCUACCCCCAGCCCACCGCCCCCGAGGUCGCUGCUGCACCCUCGGGGGCGGUGUCAGAAAAGGCGCUGGCCCACCGGGGACGCGGGGCAGGGACGGAACACCCUUGUCAGAACCGCCAGGGACACGUGCCACUCCAACGCUGCACAACAAGGGGCUUCCUGAAGGCAGAGCGUAGACCCCGUCUUCUCCCUGGGAGCCCAGCCAGGGUGCAUGCCUCACCAAAAUGCUCCCCUGUGGGAACCCAAAGGACAAUGGCAGGAGGGAGCGGACCUCCGAGGCCAGAACGUUGGCCGGACUGUGCUCCAGACCCCGUCCAGUCCAUCCCCCUGCCUGCCUCUGGCCCCCCUUCACUUAACCACUGAGGCUGCCGUUGCCAGGCCUAGACACCUCCAGAGGAGAUGGGAAACAGCUGGGCACCACCCUUCGAGUAAUAAUUACCUCCUCCAAACUUGAAGACAAUCCAGUUGCUCCUUGGCCUUCUCUUCCUCAGCUUAAAUCAUCUGUCCCCGGCCCUUUAAUCAUCCCCCAUCCUUUGAUCACUUCUGAUGACUGUGUCCAAAGUGGGGCUCCAGGACUUUAAUAAGGCCUGAUCCCUGUAGGAUGGGGAGGGUGCCCUGACCCCCUGUCCCAGGGCAUGAGCAGUCAGCGCCCGGGUCUGGACAGACAAUCCUGGGAGGGGCACUGGGCAGAUAAAAGCAGCAGCAGCAGCAGAAGAGGGAAGAAAAUGAGCUUAAAUUUGGCGAGAGCAAAAGAACUGCCAUGCGUCCAAAUUCUGUGAUGGUGCGCUCUCCCAAGGCCACGGGGGAAGGCAAGACCGUUUGUAGGCCUGGCCCAAGGGGAAGGUGUGAUCAGGGGGACAUCAGAGGGGCCACCUACCUCACAGGUCCACCGUGAGACAUGUAGUGGGGUGCAUGGUGGGCCCCCCAAAAGAUAUGUCCAUUCCGAACCUCAGAAUGAGACCUGACUUGGUGUAAGGAUCUUUGCAGACGAAUGAAGCUAAGGGUCUUGAGACAAGAUCACCCUGGAUUAGAGUGAGCCCUGAAUCCAAUGACCAGUGUCCUUAUAGAGACCAAAAAGGAGAAGACACAGAGGCGCAGAGAAAAGGGCCUCGUGAAAUCAGAGGCAGGGAUGGGAGUGACGCAGCCACAAAUCAAGUAACACUUGGGACCCCAGAAGCUGGAAGCAGCAGGACGCUUCCCCAGAGCCUUCGGAGACAGCUUGCCCUGCUGACACCUUGAGUUCAGGCUCCUGGUCUCCAACUGAGGGAGAAUAAUUUUUUGUCCUGUUAAGCCCCUCCCAGUUUGUGGUUCUUUGUUACAGCAGCCCCAGGACCCUCCUACAGACCUUAAACUCACAUCUGAAUCAUCCCUUUAGGCCAAAGCUGCCUCUCCCAAAGAUGUCUCAUAAAAGCCCCAAAUCCUGCAGUCGGCAGUGAACGCUGGCCAGCAGGUGGCAGUCCCGAGGGGGCUCGGGGGCACUCAGCAAGUUUUCAUCAGAAAAGCUGGAGGCCAGGGCUGGGUGAGAAAGGUAUAAAUAUGAAGCCUUUCUGGAGAUGGAAGGAGCAGGCCUGAAGGGAAACCCCACAGGUCCAGCCCAGGUGGAGUGACCCUUGCAAAGCAUGGGGAGAACGGGAGGAGGAAGUAGAUGGGCGGAAACAGCCAUUUGGCUCACCCAUCAGUACCCCUGACCCCACGCUCCAGGGGGGUGGCAUGGGGAGCAGAGGGAGGAUGGUGGCUCUUUGCCCAGCAAAACCAGGCCUUUGGACUGGACACCCCAUGCAGUGGACCAUCUGGCUCCUCUGGGGCAGGGGCCAUAUGGUCUCAGCUCUACGUGCACCUAGCGCCCCUCAGGGCCUCCCUGAGCCCCAGAGCCUCGGGUCCAUCAGCUGCUGAGCCUUCCACAGCCCCCAAGCCCCUUCAGCCCACCAUCUCGGUAAACGGCACCAGCAUCUACCCAGCCGCUCAAGCCAAAUAUCAAGGCGUCAUCCUCGAGUUCUCCCUUUCCCUCCCCACCACGUCCAAGCCAUCAGGAAGUGUCUGCCUCAAAUAUCCGUGGAUCAGUCUACGUCCCUCCUCAAGUUCCCCCCUCCAGCCCACCCCCUCUGCCAGAGGUAUGCUGCCUAAGGUUUAACAACCGGCGAAACAACUCUACCUCAUGUGUAGCAUUGGCCUAUUUCUGUGGUGUAAGUAUUCCCAUCUUGGCCAAUUUGGGGCUACCAAUGAGACACCGUUGAAACUGGGGCUGGAUAUCGCUUAUAUGUGGAAUCUAAAAAAUGGUACAAAUGAACUUAUUUACAAAACAGAAAUAGAAUUACAGAUGUAGAAAACAAACUUAUGGUUACUGAGGGGAAGGGUGGGGAGGGAUAAAUUGGGAGAUUGGGAUUGACAUAUACAUACUACUAUAUAUAAAAUAGAUAACUAUUAAGGACUCACUGUAGAGCACAGCGAACUCAACUCAAUACUCUGUAAUGACCUGUACGGGAAAAGAAUCUAAAAAAGAGCAGAUAUGUGUAUAUGUAUAACCAAACCACUUUGCUGUACACCUGAGACGAACACAAUGUAAAUCAACUAUACUCCAAUAAAAAUUAAUUAAAAAACAAAAAAGAAACUGGGGCUGGGAAGAGAUUGCAGUAGCUGCCGUUAUACAGUGUUUCUACCAUAGAGAUACAGCAGAGGUGAAGAACUCGAGAACAAAGAUGACCCGUUCAUCUAUCGUUGGACAUUUAGGUUGUUUCCCUGUCCUGGCUGUUGUAAAUAGUGCUGCAGUGAACACUGGGGUACAUGUGUCCUUUUGAAUUAUGGUUUU